AUGAGGAAGGACGUAGUAAUCGACGAAAUGCUUUGAGGAGUUGAAAAUAAGCAUAAAUCCAGAGAUUCUUGAAUAGGGCAACCUUUCGAACUAUUGUUGAAUCCAAGGCAGGCAAGAGACAACCCUAGCGAACUGAAACAUCUUAGGAGCCAGAAGAAAAGAAAGCAAAAGU
rnacentral:ncRNA from 1 species